rnacentral:tRNA from 1 species
GGGGUUGUGGCUCAGCGGUAGAGCACUCGCCUCACACGUGCAAGACCUUGGGUUAUAGACCCUGGGUAUAGCUUACUUGGUAGAGUGCUUUCUUCACAUGCACAAGGCCCUGGGUUCAAUCCUCAGCACCACCA